UACGUAGGGUGCAAGCGUUAAUCGGAAUUACUGGGCGUAAAGCGUGCGCAGGCGGUUGGGCAAGACAGAUGUGAAAUCCCCGGGCUCAACCUGGGAACUGCAUUUGUGACUGCACGGCUAGAGUGCGGCAGAGGGAGAUGGAAUUCCGCGUGUAGCAGUGAAAUGCGUAGAUAUGCGGAGGAACACCGAUGGCGAAGGCAAUCUCCUGGGCCUGCACUGACGCUCAUGCACGAAAGCGUGGGGAGCAAACAGG
rnacentral:rRNA from 1 species